rnacentral:rRNA from 1 species
CCUACGGGAGGCAGCAGUGGGGAAUAUUGCACAAUGGGGGGAACCCUGAUGCAGCGACGCCGCGUGGGUGAAGGAGUAUUUCGGUAUGUAAAGCCCUAUCAGCAGGGAAGAACAAUGACGGUACCUGACUAAGAAGCACCGGCUAAAUACGUGCCAGCAGCCGCGGUAAUACGUAUGGUGCAAGCGUUAUCCGGAUUUACUGGGUGUAAAGGGAGUGCAGGCGGCGCGUUAAGCCUGGUGUGAAAGUCCGCGGCCCAACCGCGGGACUGCAUUGGGAACUGGCGCGCUGGAGUGCCGGAGGGGUAGGCGGAAUUGCUAGUGUAGCGGUGAAAUGCGUAGAUAUUAGGAGGAACACCAGUGGCGAAGGCGGCCUACUGGACGGUGACUGACGCUGAGGCUCGAAAGCGUGGGGAGCAAACAGGAUUAGAUACCCGAGUAGUC